rnacentral:rRNA from 1 species
UACAGAGGUCCCGAGCGUUGUUCGGAUUCACUGGGCGUAAAGGGUGCGUAGGUGGCGGGGAAAGUUUGAUGUGAAAUCUCCAAGCUUAACUUGGAAACUGCAUUGAAUACUAUUCCGCUUUGAGGUUUGGAGGGGGGACUGGAAUUCUCGGUGUAGCAGUGAAAUGCGUAGAUAUCAGGAGGAACACCAAUGGCGAAGGCAGCACUCUGGGACGUGACUGACGCUGAGACGCGAAAGCGUGGGGAUCAAACAGG